GUCAUUCUAGAAAUCAAAUCGAAUUCUAGUUCUGUUGGUGUCAUUCUAGAAAUCAAAUCUAAUUCUAGUUUUGUUGGUGUCAUUCUAGAAAUCAAAUGUAAUUCUAGUUCUGUUGGUGGAGCUAUAUGAACAUUAUCAGUAUGCCUUGUCCUUCUGUUCAACUCCUCCCUUGUGUACGUUAGAAUUCCCUGUCAAGUCUUUAUUAUGUAAACUAAUGUUUACAAAUUUCCUGCACAAGUGUCCCCUGGUGGCAUUGGUAAUAUAGAGAACACAGUGCCAAAUUACCUCAUUUGUUUAUAAAGGACACGGAAUAUGUUACAGCUUCAAUUGUUUUAUUAUUCAUCGAUUGAUAACCAGAAUGAAAACAAAUGCAGAAAGUUACAUAGUAAAUAUAGACCUGUUCACCUCUUGCAUGCCAGAGUCCCUCUUCAUCUCUCUGUCCAGCUCGGAGCUUCCCUCCUCCUCCGUCUCCUCCCCUUUGCGUCUCUCCCGGAGCGAGUGAGUAUUGUGAGGGCAGCGCACUGUUUCUGUAGCGACAAGAGGUCAGGGCACAGGAGAGCUGCGUUGGGGCAAAGAGUUAGAAAAAAGACUCACUGUGAUAUCUUCAUCAUGCUCACGGUGUGGCAGUUCUGAGGUGGCUCAGUUGGUUGGAGCACGGUGCUGACAACAUCAGGGUUAUGGGUUUGGGACAUGGAGCACGGUGCUGACAACAUCAGGGUUAUGGGUUUGAUUCCCAGAUGGAGCACGGUGCUGACAACAUCAGGGUUAUGGGUUUGGGACAUGGAGCACGGUGCUGACAACAUCAGGGUUAUGGGUUUGAUUCCCAGAUGGAGCACGGUGCUGACAACAUCAGGGUUAUGGGUUUGGGACAUGGAGCACGGUGCUGACAACAUCAGGGUUAUGGGUUUGAUUCCCAGAUGGAGCACGGUGCUGACAACAUCAGGGUUAUGGGUUUGAUUCCCAGAUGGAGCACGGUGCUGACAACAUCAGGGUUAUGGGUUUGGGACAUGGAGCACGGUGCUGACAACAUCAGGGUUAUGGGUUUGAUUCCCAUGUGGAGCACGGUGCUGACAACAUCAGGGUUAUGGGUUUGAUUCCCAUGUGGAGCACGGUGCUGACAACAUCAGGGUUAUGGGUUUGAUUCCCAUGUGGAGCACGGUGCUGACAACAUCAGGGUUAUGGGUUUGAUUCCCACGUGGAGCACACAUACAAUACUUCGAUAUAAGAACUAUGAGCUGCUUAGAAUUAAAGCAUAUUACAGUAUUACUACUAUCUGCAGAGGAGCUAUAAUACUCACAGCCAGAGGGGGUGCUGUAGAGAGGAGCUAUAAUACUCACAGCCAUAGGGGGUGCUGUAGAGAGGAGCUAUAAUACUCACAGGCAGAGGGGGUGCUGUAGAGAGGAGCUAUAAUACUCACAGCCAGAGGGGGUGCUGUAGAGAGGAGCUAUAAUACUCACAGCCAGAGGGGGCGCUGUAGAGAGGAGCUAUAAUACUCACAGCCAGAGGGGGUGCUGUAGAGAGGAGCUAUAAUACUCACAGCCAGAGGGGGCGCUGUAGAGAGGAGCUAUAAUACUCACAGCCAGAGGGGGUGCUGUAGAGAGGAGCUAUAAUACUCACAGCCAGAGGGGGCGCUGUAGAGAGGAGCUAUAAUACUCACAGCCAGAGGGGGCGCUGUAGAGAGGAGCUAUAAUACUCACAGACAGAGGGGGCGCUGUAGACAGGAGCUGUAAUACUCACAGCCAGAGGGGGUGCUGUAGAGAGGAGCUAUAAUACUCACAGCCAGAGGGGGCGCUGUAGAGAGGAGCUAUAAUACUCACAGGCAGAGGGGGUGCUGUAGAGAGGAGCUAUAAUACUCACAGCCAGAGGGGGCGCUGUAGAGAGGAGCUAUAAUACUCACAGGCAGAGGGGGCGCUGUAGAGAGGAGCUAUAAUACUCACAGGCAGAGGGGGUGCUGUAGAGAGGAGCUAUAAUACUCACAGCCAGAGGGGGUGCUGUAGAGAGGAGCUAUAAUACUCACAGCCAGAGGGGGCGCUGUAGAGAGGAGCUAUAAUACUCACAGCCAGAGGGGGUGCUGUAGAGAGGAGCUAUAAUACUCACAGCCAGAGGGUGCGCUGUAGAGAGGAGCUAUAAUACUCACAGCCAGAGGGGGUGCUGUAGAGAGGAGCUAUAAUACUCACAGGCAGAGGGGGCGCUGUAGAGAGGAGCUUUAAUACUCACAGGCAGAGGGGGCGCUGUAGAGAGGAGCUAUAAUACUCACAGGCAGAGGGGGCGCUGUAGAGAGGAGCUAUAAUACUCACAGGCAGAGGGGGUGCGGUAGAGAGGAGUUUCUUGGUAGGGAGGUUUAUCAACACCUGAGGCUAAAGAAGAGGCACAGACAAAGCAAUGAGAACAGGGACUGUCCUGUUACAACACUUGUAAUGUAUCCUCCCUUCCUUCUUAGAAGUAAUCACUAAUCUCUUCGCUCUCAGUGAAGUAGUGGAACACUUGAGUCCUACCAAGGAGAGGGGGAUGGAGAGAGGGAUGAGAGAGAGGGAAGGAGAGAGAGGGAAGGAGAGAGGUAUAAAGAGAGGUGAUGAGCAGAUGAAAUUACAGAUAGAUAAGUCUGGGGAGGCUGUUCUGUGACUGUAUAUACUGUGACUGUACAUACUGUGACUGUACAUAACCACACACAUUUGGCAGCAGAAAAUAUAGUACCCAAAUAUCUUGAAAUUCAUGUGGAUAGUUGGAUUCGUAGUUCCUCAUGAGUCAAACACAGAACAGCGUGAACACACACACCUCUCCACAGUAGCUUUCCAGUGCUUUCUCCGUGCUCCUCUCGGACUGACGCCCUGACUCCCCCUCUCUCUCGGAGGCAUCUGGGGCAGAGGGCUUGGCCACCUGAGGAGGGGGGGGGGGUCAUCUCUAGGGCAACGGCCUCUAACUUCACCUCCACGGGUUGGCCUGUCUCCUCGUCCAGCAGUCCCCCCCGCAUCACUGACACCUUCAGACUGGACAUACACACACACACACACACACACACACACACACACACACACACACACACACUGAAAGAAAAACAAUACAACAGAAGGUAAGCUUCUAAAAUGACAGUUGAAGAUAAUACGAGGUGAAGAUGACCACUAUAACACCAGGCCUGUCAGAAAACAGGAGGCGAGGUAACGUAUGGCACUAUUAACUCUUUCCAUGGGACUUACUGGUCAGUGGAGGUCAUGCCUAGCUCCAUGUCCCUCCCUCUCUCUUCCAUCUCAGUACAACACACACACAACACACACAAAGCUAUAUUUACAUUUCUAUAGCUUUUAUUAUCUGUCCUAAAUCUUUACUCUCACCAUCAUGGAAUUGGUCCUGGUACUC
rnacentral:lncRNA from 1 species